rnacentral:misc_RNA from 1 species
GAUGAAGAACGCAGUGAAAUGCGAUACGUAAUGUGAAUUGCAAAUUCAGUGAAUCAUCGAGUCUUUGAACGCACAUUGCGCCCGCUGGUAUUCCGGCGGGCAUGCCUGUUCGAGCGUCAUUUCAACCCUCAAGCCCCCGGGUUUGGUGUUGGGGAUCGGCUCUGCCCUUCUGGGCGGUGCCGCCCCCGAAAUACAUUGGCGGUCUCGCUGCAGCCUCCAUUGCGUAGUAGCUAACACCUCGCAACUGGAACGCGGCGCGGCCAUGCCGUAAAACCCCAACUUCUGAAUGUUGACCUCGGAUCAGGUAGGAAUACCCGCUGAACUUAAGCAUAUCAAUAAGCGGAGGA